rnacentral:tRNA from 1 species
GGAGACGUCGCAUAGUCUGGUCGAGUGCGCCUUCCUGCUAAGAAGGUAGGGGCUGAAAGGUCCCUCGCGGGUUCAAAUCCCGCCGUCUCCGCCA